CCUUUCAAAAGUUUUGAAGAUGCUGAAUUAAAGAAUUCAACGAAGUGAUUUGCUGAGAGGGACAAGCUUCCAUUCCCGAUGCCUGCUGAAUCAAGACUAUCUGGUUUUGUUCGGGCUGAAAAAUCAGGAGAGGAAAUCUUCAUGUUCCAGCCUAACUGCAUAUUUAACAUUCAGAUCUUUCUGUUUGUGCUCAGGAGAGUAUGUAUCUUUAAAUGGUUGCAUCUGGAUGUAGCAAAGGUUUCAGAACCAUCGAUUAUUUUCCAUCUUUUAUUUGUGCCUCAGUACCAGAGUAAUGCUGAGUAAUAUAAGACAGUGACUUUUACUCUCCCUCUGUGCUCUGCAGAAAGGGCUGCCAGUGAACUCAUGCAAAUGGAUUGGGAAGUUAAAAAAAAAAAGCUUAUAUCUGAUUAUUUCCUUCCUAUGCAGUUGUGAGCAGCGAUACCAUCAGAGUGGUUCCAGAGGUCUCUAAAGACUGUUGUGGUGCACAUCUUGCAGAUUUUAGGGGUAGAAAAGAAAGUCCUAGCUCUCAUUUCAGAAAUAGCCUCAAUUAAAUUUGGUCCCUGCCAAGCUAGCUUAUGAUAAACUGGAGCAGGACUUUGAAAGCAACUCAGUACGUUUUACACCAUAUGGCAAAUAGCCACAAAAGUUAUUGCUUUUGCAGGAAACGAAUCUCCCACUGCUUUUGCAGAACAAUGAGCAGGCAUUAAAAAAAACGGUAGCAGCUAGAGUAGCCUGGUAGGUUGUAGGAUGGGUGGGGUUUGAAAAAGGGUCUCCUAGCCAAGAUUCAAGAGCAAUUCCCCUUAAUUCUGAUGGCUUUCAGUUAGAAAUACUGAUUUUGCCUCCUGUAUUGUUUGUUGCAGCUGUUUUUGAAAAGAUUGUGAAAUAAAAUUAUGGGAGAAAUAAACUGGGUUUGGGAGAGGUCUGAAUUCUUCCUUCAUAAGAUUUCCUAGGAAAAAGUAGAUCUGUCCCAGGGGAUCAAUUAUCUGUGCACUUCACUAUUUUGUUAGUUUCUGUGAGUUCGUUUGCUUUGGUUUUGCACAGCAGUUCAGUGAGAAAGAAAAUAUCACCUCCACGCUAAUUGUACUUCCUCUGAUACCAGCAGUGUGAAUUUUUUUUUCAACAUCUUCCAGGAAUCUUAUCAGGUCAUGCCUGAAUGAAAUCAAAUUAGUUGAAUUCUUUUGCUAUAGCUUUCUCUUUAGCUAUAUCACUGUUAAGAUUCAAAGGACCCACUUUUUAUUUAUUUCAAGGGCCAUUUACACCUCU